GUCAUCUGNUCUGGCGUACUCCGCCAGGCGGGGAACUUAAUGCGUUAUGCUGCGGCACCGACGACGUGGAAUGUCGCCAACACCUAGUUCCCACCGUUUACGGCGUGGACUACCAGGGUAUCUAAUCCUGUUCGCUCCCCACGCUUUCGCUCCUCAGCGUCAGUAAUGGCCCAGAGAUCCGCCUUCGCCACCGGUGUUCCUCCUGAUAUCUGCGCAUUUCACCGCUACACCAGGAAUUCCGAUCUCCCCUACCACACUCUAGUCUGCCCGUAUCGAAUGCAGACCCGGGGUUAAGCCCCGGGCUUUCACAUCCGACGUGACAGACCGCCUACGAGCUCUUUACGCCCAAUAAUUCCGGACAACGCUUGCGCCCUACGUAUUACCGCGGCUGCUGGCACGUAGUUAGCCGGCGCUUCUUCUGCAGGUACCGUCACUUUCGCUUCUUCCCUGCUGAAAGAGGUUUACAACCCGAAGGCCGUCAUCCCUCACGCGGCGUCGCUGCAUCAGGCUUUCGCCCAUUGUGCAAUAUUCCCCACUGCUGCCUCCCGUAGGAGUCUGGGCCGUGUCUCAGUCCCAGUGUGGCCGGUCGCCCUCUCAGGCCGGCUACCCGUCGUCGCCUUGGUGAGCCAUUACCUCACCAACAAGCUGAUAGGCCGCGGGCUCAUCCUUCACCGCCAGAGCUUUUAACCUACACCCAGGAGAGUGGAGGUGUUAUCCGGUAUUAGAACCCGUUUCCAGGGGCUUGUCCCAGAGUGAAGGGGCAGAUUGCCCACGNGUUACUCACCCGUUCGCACUAAUCACCCCGAAGGGCUCAUCGUUCGACUUGCAUGUGUUAAGCACCCC
rnacentral:rRNA from 1 species